GACGUAGGGCGCGAGCGUUGUCCGGAUUUAUUGGGCGUAAAGAGCUCGUAGGCGGCUUGUCGCGUCGACUGUGAAAUCCCGCGGCUCAACUGCGGGUCUGCAGUCGAUACGGGCAGGCUAGAGUUCGGUAGGGGAGACUGGAAUUCCUGGUGUAGCGGUGAAAUGCGCAGAUAUCAGGAGGAACACCGGUGGCGAAGGCGGCGUUCUGGACUGCAACUGACACUGA
rnacentral:rRNA from 1 species